AGGAUGUGGUGGGGGCCAUGAAGGGUUUAAGCAGAAGAGGGACACAUCACAAUCGAUGGGUCGUCUGGGCAGCUGUGGGGUGCACAGACGCGGGGCACCUGCAGGCAGGAACAGUCAGGAAGCUGUUUUCAUUAGUCUAGGCCAGAAAGAGCUAUGAGUUCCUCGCAGUGGCCACAGGGUUAGAGAAGCGAAGAUGGCUCCUCAAGACUUAGAACGCUCUUAAGUCGCUAACCCAUGGGGUGCGGCAGUGGGGGACAGGGCGGGGUCUAAGUUAAAGGCAAGCAGCCGCGCGGCGGGGCUGCCUGCAGACCGCUCCCGCUUACUCGCACCUCUCGGCCUCUGUGGCAGCUCCGUGCUUUUCCUGGGCGUCUCUCUCCUCCCCUGUUGCCCUCUUUUCUGGCUCAGAUCACCUCCGCGGUUUCACUUCUUCAUCUUGCUUAAAGGCCUUGUAGAGGUGGCAGGUUAUCUGGGGCUGCAGCCUGAACAUAGGAAGUCCUCGCCCAGCUUUGUCUAGACGGCUGAGAUCCCCGGCCCGGGCGGAGGCCCCUUGGGCCCCUCUGGGUCCUUGACAUCGUUCGUGGAGCCUCAGCAGGUCUGUCCCCCGGGAAGCCAAGGUGGGACAUCAGCCUGGCGGCUGGCCAAGUCAUGGAGAACCGCCUGCCCAUCUUUGAGCCAUAACACUCACGCUGGAAGUCAACAAGGGAAAUGGAAAGGCAGAGACCAACCUCCUCCGCGGGCACGCGCCCUGGGACCCAUGCCAGCGCGCAUGCGGCUUCCGGGCCUCUGCUUUCCAAAGGCCCAGGAGAGCGAGGCUCUGCGACUGCCCCCAGGGAGAGAGCCCAAGUACAGGAUUUCCAGGCUCCCUCUUCUCAACGUGCGCAGCUUCUUCCUCCAGCACCAGACAGGGCAACGGAGCUCCUGGGGUCUCCUCCAGAGCCUUUCCAGGGGCCUCCGCCUCCUUCCUGAAAGGUCAGGGGAUGGGAAGACGGUCGACCUGUGAAGAGGAGGAUUUCUCUAGUGAG
rnacentral:lncRNA from 1 species